UUUUUCUAAGUGUAGUAAACAAAAUUCUAUUCUAGGUAGAGCAACAUGAUGGUGCAUCAACCCAUCAACCUAUUGCAAAGAAGCCCCAGCGACCACCCUUCAUCAAAAACCUCUUUCUUGGAAAGUUUGAUAAGGAGAUGCUGGCUUUUCCUGAAGUUUUAGACAAAGAUCAGCAUGAGUUGCUCCAUGAUAUGCUGGUUCCCAUUGAAAAGUUCUUUGAAGAGGAAGUUGAUGGCCCAAAGAUUGACAAAAAUGCAAAAAUUCCUCAAGAUACCCUGGAUGGCCUAAAGAACCUGG